ACCUUAUCAAGAGAGGUGGAGGGAAGGGCCCUAUGAAACCCGGCAACCGGCUUUAAGUAUCGGUGCCAAUUCCUGCAGGAUAAAUAUCCUGAAAGAUAAGGA
rnacentral:ncRNA from 2 species